UCCUACAGUUCUUGCCUGGUUUCUCACUGAAGCUAAGCAGGGUUGUGACUGGCCAGUACCUGGAUGGAAGACCACCUGGAGAAAUCUAAGGUUGCUGCUGGAA
rnacentral:rRNA from 1 species